UAUGUGGUUUAUUAUCAAAAUGAAACGC
rnacentral:sRNA from 1 species